GACUACACAGCGUAACAACCCAGAAGACAGCCAUCUUUCUGAAGUAUAUUAAGAAUAGCUUUCAGUGGUUCAUGUAUGAUUUCUUGAAGUAUGCCCAAUAAAUAUCUUGGCUGAAUCUGUCCUAUCUUCAGGUUUGCCCACCUCUAGUGCGGUGCUUUUAUAAACAACUGAAUGUACUUUCUUCUUUUCAGAUAAGAGAACAGCAAGAUGUCUUGGAAGGAGUGAUCAUUAUGUUUUCUGUUUAGAACAAACAUGUUUUGUCAACCAAAGGACUACAACUCACUUUUAAAGUGUGUACCUUGCCUUGUAGUUUGCAGUCCUGCUCCCAGCCGUUCGUUAUGGUGCAUGAGAUCCAUGGAGAUGAGGAAACCAAUCACACUGGUAACCUUUGUCUGUAAGCAGUAUGUUUGCUAUAUCUCUGGCCUUUAAAUAAGGCUGAUUAGUUCAUUGUUAUCUUCAUGUGCCAGGAACAUCAGAAGUAGUGGAACAGUUUGUCACUUCAUUUUGUCCCUUGCCUAUGGUAGAGGUGUGCUGUUGUGAACAUAAUGAACUUUCAGGUUUGAGGGAAAUUUAGCCGAGUUAAUUUCUCAACAAAGACUGCUGCAUGGAGUUAGGUAUGAUAGUGUUGCACUGCCUUUAAAAUCAUAUACUGAAUUUCAUGAUCAUGUACUACAUUUUUGCUACUGUCUGUGUGUGUAUUUUAUAUUUAUCUAUACAAAUACAUGCCUUACAAUGUUGAAACAUUGUUUUCUCUUAUAGUGAUUAUCUGUCUCAUAAAUGGGGUCCAGUGUAAUAUAUUUAAAAAUUAUUUUGUACCCACAAAAUAUUGACUGCAAGUGAUACAUACCCAGUUUUGUAAGACCUGAUGGUCAUGACUGGAACCUUUUCAUGCUGAGGAUUUAAUAAAAGGGGUUGUUGGUAUAUUACACUAAAUGCUAUCGAGAGACAGAAAGAUAAGUUUCUUCUGUAGGUAUUGUUCUGCAUGUAACGAAAGAGGUUCAAUAUUUUUUAAAGCAAGGUAUGUUAUUUGUAGCAUUCUUGGAUUGCAGGUAAAACCAUCUGGCAGACAUGCAUCAAUCCUAACAAGCUAUAUCCCACCUUAAUGUACUUUACAUGAAGUGAAAUGUAUCAUUAGGAUUGUUUCGUUGCUAUAAUUAUUUACUGUUAUGAAUGUGUGUUAAUUAAUGCAAGCCUCCCUAAUGUCAACCAAUUUUGUGUUUUAUGGGAAAUGACAAAUGCAAUGGGUACUCUGGUAUGAACAGGACUGUAAGAUAACAUUCACAAUGAAUGAAGAGUGUUUUAUUGAAGUGUUAUAUCUAAAAGUAAGGAAAUUACACUUUUCAAAGUGUUUAAGAAUCUUAGGCAUAAAACGUGUAAGUGCAAUUAGUUGUGUAUAUUUUACACUUGUAGAUAUCCAUGUUCGCACAGGUUUCUUUGAACAUAUGUUGAGCUAAUCUGUUUCUGUUUGUGAUGUGCAUUUACAAUUGUAUUAAUUUUUGCACCUUAAUAUUCUUUGGUGUAAGAGUUGAAGAUGUUACGCAGCCUUGUUUCAUGUUUUGCAUGGAACUUCAUUUGUAACUGUUGAAGUGAUAUAAUUUGAUUUGCUAGAUUAUGAUUCACUUGUGCAUCACAUGGUUCUUUUCAAUUAAACUAAUUGAUAAUUAGUGUAGACAACAUUAUGAUGACGAUAAAGAAAUGUGGGACAAUGCC